GGGGGGAGGCUGGAUCCUGGGCUGUUUCCCCGGCGCACAAUUCUCCCUGGCCUGCGCUGUUGGAUUCGCGCUCCCGUUUGUGCAGCUGCUU
rnacentral:pre_miRNA from 1 species